AGAAAUGAGAGGCACAGUGAAAGGUUUCCAUGCUGGAUCUAAGGUAUUCUUUAUGACCUGAAACCCAGACACAGAAAAAGAUGGACUCAGCUGCUUGUCACACCUCUAGCUCACAAGACAGACGAAGAUAGACAGAAAGUGAGACAGCAGACAGAAAGGGGAAGACUGGUGACAAAUGAGAAAGACAAUCAAAGAAAGGAGGAGAGAGAAAACAAAGCUAACAGGAGGGGAUGAGAGAAAGUGAGAAAGUCGUGCGUGUGCCAGAAACAGCAAGCUGUGGAUAAUAUCCAAGAAAAGGUUUGGGCCUCUUUUCUCCUCCUCCUUCGUUCCCUUACUCCAGGAGCACUAAGCUUUUGUUUCCCUUCCCGCUGCCAUAGUAACCGUUGGCAAUUUCACAUCAGAGCCACAUGCCCUGCUGACCGACAGCUAGCUACAACCCGAGGAACUCGCCUACACACAUACACACACUCAAGCAGGCGCAAACAUACACAAAAGCCAACUUGCCCUGUUGACCAGCUGUACGCUACAGAAAAGCCCUGAGCUGCAGCCUACACACACCAAAACUUCAUCACCAUGCUCCUUUUCAGCACAUUCAACUUAGCACUUAUGUUUCUUUUCCUUCACCAUGAAAAACGCCUUACAUGUACAUCAUGUAUCAUUUAUAGAAUCAAAGAAAGGCAGAAGACUCCCCAGACAAGAAACAGAACAUAGUCUGAUGUGCUUGAACCACUGAAAAGCUCUAUGUAAAAAAUCUGGUAUCAUUUAAAUUGAUUCUAAUUCUU